GACGAACGCUGGCGGCGUGCCUAAUACAUGCAAGUCGAGCGGACGAAUCGAAAGCUUGCUUUUGAUUCGUUAGCGGCGGACGGGUGAGUAACACGUGGGCAACCUGCCCUGUAGACGGGGAUAACACCGAGAAAUCGGUGCUAAUACCGGAUAACACGAAAUGUCGCAUGACGUUUCGUUGAAAGACGGCGCAAGCUGUCGCUACAGGAUGGGCCCGCGGCGCAUUAGUUAGUUGGUGAGGUAACGGCUCACCAAGGCGACGAUGCGUAGCCGACCUGAGAGGGUGAUCGGCCACACUGGGACUGAGACACGGCCCAGACUCCUACGGGAGGCAGCAGUAGGGAAUCUUCCGCAAUGGACGAAAGUCUGACGGAGCAACGCCGCGUGAGCGAAGAAGGCCUUCGGAUCGUAAAGCUCUGUUGUUAGGGAAGAACAAGUAACGCAGUAACUGGCGUUACCGUGACGGUACCUAACGAGAAAGCCACGGCUAACUACGUG
rnacentral:rRNA from 1 species